AGAGUUUGAUCAUGGCUCAGGAUGAACGCUAGCUACAGGCUUAACACAUGCAAGUCGAGGGGCAGCAUUUUAGUUUGCUUGCAAACUAAAGAUGGCGACCGGCGCACGGGUGAGUAACACGUAUCCAACCUGCCGAUAACUCGGGGAUAGCCUUUCGAAAGAAAGAUUAAUAUCCGAUAGUAUAUUAAAACCGCAUGGUUCUACUAUUAAAGAAUUUCGGUUAUCGAUGGGGAUGCGUUCCAUUAGUUUGUUGGCGGGGUAACGGCCACCAAGACUACGAUGGAUAGGGGUUCUGAGAGGAAGGUCCCCCANAUUGGAACUGAGACACGGUCCAAACUCCUACGGGAGCA
rnacentral:rRNA from 1 species